AACGAACGCUGGCGGCAUGCCUAACACAUGCAAGUCGAACGAGACCUUCGGGUCUAGUGGCGCACGGGUGCGUAACGCGUGGGAACCUGCCCUUAGGUUCGGAAUAACUCCCCGAAAGGGGUGCUAAUACCGGAUAAUGUCUUCGGACCAAAGAUUUAUCGCCUUUGGAUGGGCCCGCGUUGGAUUAGCUAGUUGGUAGGGUAAAAGCCUACCAAGGCGACGAUCCAUAGCUGGUCUGAGAGGAUGAUCAGCCACACUGGGACUGAGACACGGCCCAGACUCAUACGGGAGGGAGCAGUGGGGAAUAUUGGACAAUGGGCGAAAGCCUGAUCAAGCAAUGCCGGGUGAGUGAUGAAGGCCUUAGGGAUGUAAAGCACUUUUACCCGGGAUGAUAAUGACAGUACCGGGAGAAUAAGCUCCGGCUAACUCCGUG
rnacentral:rRNA from 1 species